rnacentral:rRNA from 1 species
UACAGAGGGGGCAAGCGUUGUUCGGAAUUACUGGGCGUAAAGGGCGCGUAGGCGGUCAGCACAAGUCAGUUGUGAAAUCUCCGGGCUUAACUCGGAAAGGUCAACUGAUACUGUGCGACUAGAGUGCAGAAGGGGCAACUGGAAUUCUUGGUGUAGCGGUGAAAUGCGUAGAUAUCAAGAGGAACACCUGCGGCGAAGGCGGGUUGCUGGGCCGACACUGACGCUGAGGCGCGAAAGCUAGGGGAGCGAACGGG